rnacentral:tRNA from 1 species
UCCUCUGUAGUUCAGUCGGUAGAACGGCGGACUGUUAAUCCGUAUGUCAGUGGUUCGAGUCCAGUCAGAGGAGCCA